rnacentral:rRNA from 1 species
GAUGAACGCUGGCGGCGUGCCUAAUACAUGCAAGUCGAGCGAACGGACGAGAAGCUUGCUUCUCUGAUGUUAGCGGCGGACGGGUGAGUAACACGUGGAUAACCUACCUAUAAGACUGGGAUAACUUCGGGAAACCGGAGCUAAUACCGGAUAAUAUUUUGAACCGCAUGGUUCAAAAGUGAAAGACGGUCUUGCUGUCACUUAUAGAUGGAUCCGCGCUGCAUUAGCUAGUUGGUAAGGUAACGGCUUACCAAGGCAACGAUGCAUAGCCGACCUGAGAGGGUGAUCGGCCACACUGGAACUGAGACACGGUCCAGACUCCUACGGGAGGCAGCAGUAGGGAAGCUUCCGCAAAGGGCGAAAGCCUGACGGAGCAACGCCGCGUGAGUGAUGAAGGUCUUCGGAUCGUAAAACUCUGUUAUUAGGGAAGAACAUAUGUGUAAGUAACUGUGCACAUCUUGACGGUACCUAAACAGAAAGCCACGGCUAACUACGUG